ACAUGUCCACCAUGCCACAGCGAGACUCUUUAACGUCGACAAAGUACGAAAACCAGCAUUACUGCUUGAUAUUUAACACGGAGACGACGUGUCCCAGUAUGGAGCUGGUCCCGUUAUUCCGCUUUCUUCGCCUGUUACGCCAUUGUUUCAUUGUAUCGGUCGUCUCUCUCUCUUUCUCUCGCUCACACAUUGAUACACGCACACACACGCUAGUCGUCCAUUCAUGUCCUUGCUCUAUUCAUAACCUUACUUUAACCACCAGCAGCCUACACCUUGACCUAAAACCAUCUUCUUCCCAUCCUUACUUAAAAGACUGACUGUCGUGAAAUAUUUGUAUGACAUAACGUAUACCUGGCGUACAUACAAAGACUGAGUGGCACAGCUAACCUUUAAUGAGCUAAUUAUAUUAGGGAAGCUUAACUUAAUCCAAUUGGACUUUAUAGUCACUACAGCUAUACGUGAAUGUGUCAACAUUCAUCUAUUCAUCCAUCCACCCAUGCAUUAUGCACGAUCCAUUCAUGGAUUCAUACAUCUAUUCAUGCAUCAACCCUCAUGCUUUUGUCUAUCCAUCAUCCCUCUCAUCCUUCUCUCAGUCAUUCAUUCAUUCAACUAUUCACCCAUCUGGAUUUAUUGCGUAUUCAUCCAGUCAUACGUCAUACCUUCAUACUAUUCAACUAACCAUGAAUUUAUUCAUCCAUUCAUACAAUAAUCCAUUCUUCCAAUCAAUUAUUUAACAUGACAUCCGCCCAUUCAUACUUUCAUUAAACUAGCAACUAAUUAAUUUCUUUAUUCAUUCAUUCAGUUAUUUAACUGUAGAUUCAUCCAGUCAUACAUGCAUUCAACUAACCAUUCAGCCAUUCAUUCAACCAUCCAUUCAAUUAUGCAAGUACAAAGCCGUCCAUUUAUACUUUAAUUCAACUAGACAUCCAUCAAUCAAUUCAUUCAUCCAUCAUCCAUUUAUGACUCUAUCUUUCCGUAAUUAAACUAUGCAUCCAUCUAUCCAUUCAUCCAUUCGUUCAAUUAUGUGACUGUUCAUCCAUCCAUCCAUCCAGCCAUUUGUUCAUUCAUCCAUUCGAUUUCCACAUAUAUAUACAUUCAUUCUUUUCAUUAACUUGGCCAUUCAAUUAUUCAACUACACAUUUAUCCACUCAUACAUUCAUUCAAAUAACCAUCCAUCUAUUCCAUCCUCCAUCAAUCCAGUCAUUCAUUCAUUCAUCCGUUCGCUAUGUGUGUAUAUGUAUAUUCUUUCACAGUGUUUACAUGCACGGAUGAAGACGCUGCAUGACGCCAGAGUCUCGCAUCGGAGCAGUCUUCAUCCGCUGUGGAACACACACAACAAUGAAUGGACAGGCGACAGCGUGCAGUGAUACGACGGGAGAGAAAGUAACGGCGAGCGAUUGUGAGGUCUGAUUUUUUCAAGGAGGCAUUUUUGUGAUGCAUAUGUAUUACUCUUUCGAACGCAUAUUGUUUUGAGAAGCCAAUCUUCUUACUUAAGUGGCACCACCAACUAACCGGAACUACGUUCCUCAUCACCGAAAUCCGACCAGAACUCGGCUCACGGGAAUAAGCUCACGGCUGCAAACUAACCCAAAAUGGAGCCAAAGAAAGUUGCAAGUGCCAGCAUUUGAUGAAUAAGACAGAGCACGUCUGUGGAUGGAGAGAUGUUAUCGUUUGAAAGCAGCGGCCACAGCCGAUGAGUGAUCUGCCACGUGGUGUGAUUGAUGAAGGAAGGGCUGAUGAACACUUGACGAGAUGAAAGAGCAUGGUGGUAAUGCUGGCGACGACCCCAAGAUGCCCCCAGACCCCAAGAAGGACCCGGCUGAACUAAAUAGAACCCAAUCAACAAUCAGUACCAGGUG